GUCCUAUUGGGGAUUUAAUAGGUCUGACCUGCCCACUGAAUAUUAAAGGGCCGCGGUAUUUUGACCGUGCGAAGGUAGCAUAAUCAUUAGUUUUUUAAUUGAAGGCUUGUAUGAAUGGUUGGACAAGAAAUAAGCUGUCUUUGUAAUAAUUGUUGAAUUUAACAUUUAAGUAAAAAGGCUUAAAUAAAUUAAGGGGACGAUAAGACCCUAUAAAGCUUUAUAGUUUUCUUGUUUUUUUAGGAAAUGGAUUGUAAAAACUAAUUUAGUGAGAAGAAUAUUGUGUUGGGGCGACAGGGGUAGAAUUGUAGUAUCUGCUCUGUAUUUAUAACAGAAAUUUUUGGAUUAUAUAUAAUUGAUCCUUUUUAUAGAUUAGAAGUUUAAGUUACUUUAGGGAUAACAGCGUAAUUUCUUUUGAGAGCCCAUAUCGAGAAAGAAGUUUGCGACCUCGAUGUUGAAUUAAAUUGUCUGCUUAUGUGCAGCAGCUAAGUAAGAUGGUCUGUUCGACCUUUAAAAAUUUACAUGAUUUGAGUUCAAACCGGCGUGAG
rnacentral:rRNA from 1 species